UGGGCGGUUAUGUACGCUCCCUCAUCUUUCGGCCCAUCUUUCCCACUAAACAUGGUUGCUACAAAAUUGGGACGUGGGUAGAAUGCAGUUGACGACCUCUCUUAUAUAAUACAAACCCUUGCAUUCAAAUAUUCGCCUCCAUACAUCCUUCUGUUUGCAGUACAAUUCGCCUGUAACCUCCGUAUAGAACCAACACUCAUUACCCAUGAUCUGAUUGAUAAACAAGAAAUAUGGCAAUGUCGAGGGUGAGCUCUUGCCUUGCAUACCCAGAUCCUUUCUUCACCGUUGUUGCCUAUGCGGGAUUUGGUGCUCCCCCAAUUCGUCAUCCAAAGGGUCACCUCUAAAUUCUCAAACAAAGUCGCUCAGUUGUUUUACGUCCUUUGUUAGCAGCUCCAUCAUCAGAAAGGAAGUUCAAGAAGAUGAAGACCUUCAAUUAUCAAUGGCAGUUGCUCUACUCUUCUUCUCCUUCCUUCUUAGGCUAAGGAUGUAUAAUACGCUCAUGGAGAGAUGUUUUACAGAUUGUGUGGACCAUUCAGGUGCAAAGCAUUAGAUAAAAAAAUUGGAAACAUGUGUGAAGAGAUGUGCAGAAAAGUUUUUGAAGGAUUCGAUGCAGGUCUGGAUGAGAUUUAUUGAACUCAACCAAGAUUACAUGGGAAGAGUGGAGUUGAUCCAACUGCAUACAUUAAAAAAAAUCCAUUAAUAUCCAUCAAAUAAUGCAUCCAAAACUUCAAUGGUACUACAACUCCACCUCAUGCUUCAGUAUCAAAAUUGUGAGGUAUUCUUUAAAAUUUUGAUGGUUUGGUUGUGAGGUAUUCUAUAAGAUUGGAUAAAUAUCUUUUUUAAAAAUAUAAGACGGGAUAAAUAUCGUUUAAAAAACAUUUUUUUUCUUCCAUGUGGCUGAUGUAGUACUGAAGUCCAAACAAUUGAUCUCUCCAUGGUAGACCUGGCAAAAGCGACCCAAUUGGCAAGUUUUGGGUCAUAAUGGGUCUUUAUCAUAACAUUCUGGGUCAGCUGGGUAAUUAAGUUUUUUUGCAUUGGGUCUCUAUGGGCUGAAGCAAGGAGAGUAAAAGACGUGGGAGGGUCAAUAUGGGCAGGGUUAAAGCAUUGAAUUGGUCAAGAUGGAUGGAGCUAAACGAUUGAACGGGUUACAUUGGGCGGCUAAAAACGUUACUCUACUUUUUUUGGAAUCCACUUUACUAGAGUAAUUCUCAUAGCUUCUUCAUCUAGGUUACCAUUGCAAAUUAAAACUUCGCUAUCAUUUGAUGGUUGCUGUAUAAUCGGUUACAAACAUUGCGAUGUGUAACCGGAUACCGAGAGUUAGACGAUUCAGAGGGGUCCUGAUUCAGUGUGUUCACGAGUUGAUUACGGGAUCAAUGAGGUAAAAAGAAACCCACUCGUAAUUACAUGUUUUUGGAGCUUGCAGUAGGUUGUGUUUUUUUUAUAUACUUUCGUCCUUCUGCCCAUAAUAUUUCUUCUUUUUGUGUUCUCGCUUAAGUACUAAUCAUGUAUAUUCGCCAUGAAUUAUGUUUAGAUGUUGAAAUCUCUACUGGUUGUGGAGAUCAAUCCAUCCAUAGAGUUUUUGUUGAUUCUGGUAGGAGUCAUUAUAUAGCCAAUGUGGCUGGCAAUAGCGCUUCGAAACCUAUAACAUGCAUGCGAAGUGCUCAAAGCACAUGGUGUUGACCAAACUAAAAGGCCUUGUGGUCAAUACCUUUGCUUGGAAUAGACAAGAAAUAACAAUAAGGUUACUUGGUAUUUUACUCUUUUGCUAUUAACUUUUCACUUUCAUGUAGGUACUUUAUAAAAUUUUGAUAGCAAGCUUCAACACGAGAGGUAAUUCUUGGUACGCAUAAUGGUCAACUACAUAAAAUUGUGGUUGAUGAGGAAGAUAAAAAGUGUUCCUACUUUUUCUCCCCCUUAUUAGUGUUUCUUUAAUUUUGUGGUUCAAGGGCUGAAUUGUUCGUAUGGCUCAUGUUUUUUAAUAAAAGAUUUAUAUAUUCUUUGUUUUGGUAAUAUACUUUUGAUUUAUAAGGAGAAAUGAUGUAAUAUUUUAAAUGAAGAAACUAAAUUGUACCAAUCUGAAUAGUUUAUUCUUUACGUAAUUAGUUUCACUACU
rnacentral:lncRNA from 1 species